rnacentral:lncRNA from 1 species
CCUGCGUUGGUGGGCGCGCCGCGGGCUCUAAAAGCUCGACUGUCGGCCGGGCGCUGUGGCGCACGCCUGUAAUCCCAGCACUUUGGGAGGGCAAGGUGAUGUUGGACGUGACAGAGGAGGUGACAGGUCACCCUGAGUGCGGGACUCCGUGUCCAGAAGGAAGUGGGCCUCCAGGUGCCACGCCUUUGCUUCUGCUGUGGCAUCUGAUGAGUUCCCUGUUCAUCUCUCCAGGCAUUCCCAGGGCAGUCAGCCCUGAUGCCCAGGGGCUAGGCUUGCAAGACCGCGCAUUAGGUUCGCAGAGCUAGAGUGCAAGGCCAGACCUGGUACCAACAGCAUCUCCGCCUUCGUCCUCAUCUGGUUCCCGCCUCAAACCUGUACCUGUGCGGAGGAGCCUGGAAGACGGAGUUUCGCUUUUGUUGCCCAGGCUGGAGUGCAAUGG